rnacentral:rRNA from 1 species
CCUACGGGAGGCUGCAGUGGGGAAUAUUGGACAAUGGGGGCAACCCUGAUCCAGCCAUGCCGCGUGUGUGAAGAAGGCCCUCGGGUUGUAAAGCACUUUCAGUGAGGAAGAACGCCUGGUGGUUAAUACCCAUCAGGAAAGACAUCACUCACAGAAGAAGCACCGGCUAACUCCGUGCCAGCAGCCGCGGUAAUACGGAGGGUGCGAGCGUUAAUCGGAAUUACUGGGCGUAAAGCGCGCGUAGGUGGCUUGAUAAGCCGGUUGUGAAAGCCCCGGGCUCAACCUGGGAACGGCAUCCGGAACUGUCAAGCUAGAGUGCAGGAGAGGAGGGUAGAAUUCCCGGUGUAGCGGUGAAAUGCGUAGAGAUCGGGAGGAAUACCAGUGGCGAAGGCGGCCUUCUGGACUGACACUGACACUGAGGUGCGAAAGCGUGGGUAGCAAACAGGAUUAGAUACCCGGGUAGUC